GAUGAAGAACGCAGCGAAAUGCGAUAACUAAUGUGAAUUGCAGAAUUCCGUGAAUCAUCGAGUCUUUGAACGCACAUUGCGCCCCCUGGUAUUCCGGGGGGCAUGCCUGUCCGAGCGUCAUUGCUGCCCAUCAAGCACGGCUUGUGUGUUGGGUCCCGUCCCCCUCUCCCGGGGGACGGACCCGAAAGGCAGCGGCGGCACCGCGUCCGGUCCUCGAGCGUAUGGGGCUUUGUCACCCGCUCUUGUAGGCCCGGCCGGCGCUUGCCGACACCCAACCAUUUUUUUCAGGUUGACCUCGGAUCAGGGAGGGAUACCCGCUGAACUUAAGCAUAUCAAUAAGCGGAGGA
rnacentral:misc_RNA from 1 species